UUGCGAGCUUUUGCUUCUUCCUUUAUCAGAAAUAUUAGGAAAACUACACAUUUAUGUUGACUCAGUGCAUGUGCAAUCUGUGCAUAAAUUCAUCCUUGAAUAUGCAAGUAUAUUAUCUGAAAGAUUACAGAAGUCUUGUCAUGAUGCAUAACAAAUAGAGAGAAAACUUUUCUGUGUAGAUUACUAAUAUUACUAGUGGGAGUCUAUGUUAUUCUUACUCACAGCAUAUGCUCCAAAAUCCACUCAACUUAAAAAAGAGAUCUAACACUGAGUUGUUUUUCAUCAUGAUUUCAUGAUCUGAUAACAUGAGAAGCAAUCAGCAGAAUUAGAGUGGAGGAUAAGGAGGAGGAGGAAGAGGAGGCGGAGGAGGAUGACACAGCAAAUCAAAGAAUUAAAGAAGGUAACAGUAUACACUGAAUUCAAACGCAGCAGUUUAUAGAGAGAGAGAGAGAGACAAGCAUACGCUCAGCUGAGAAAAAAGUUUAUCAUCUUAGAGAAUUAAAGAAGGUAACAGUAUACACUGAAUUCAAAC